rnacentral:lncRNA from 1 species
GCAGCUGUGUGCACCUCAGAUGGAGCAGCCAAAAAGAGCUCAGAGCUUUGGUCCUGACUUUGCAGCCCAAGUGAGAUCAUGGGUUUUGUACUCCAGGCACUGUGCUAGGCACCAGGACUAUAAUACAACUUGUGAUCUGUAGAGGAGUCAGACAAUUAUCCAGGCAUCCCAAAGAAAUGUCAAUUGCAAGCCUGGAUCCCUUUUUCCCUGGAGGCUGUUCUGAAGAUGGCACCCUACCUGCUCACCUUUUAGUGUACCUGGGCACCCAUGCCUCCAUAUGGUGACCCUCAAAUCAUACUGUAUGAAGAGCAGC